CGGAUCUCGAAAGCCUGUCCCAGUUCGGACUGGAGUCUGCAACCCGACUCCACGAAGUUGGAUUCGCUAGUAAUCGCGCAUCAGCCAUGGCGCGGUGAAUACGUUCCCGGGCCUUGUACACACCGCCCGUCAAGCCAUGGGAGCCGGGGGUGCUUGAAGUGCGUCGCCGCGAGGCGCGCCCUAGAGCAAAACCGGUGACUGGGGCUAAGUCGUAACAAGGUAAC
rnacentral:rRNA from 1 species